UACGUAGGGGGCUAGCGUUGUCCGGAAUCAUUGGGCGUAAAGAGCGCGUAGGCGGCCCGGUAAGUCCGCUGUGAAAGUCGGGGGCUCAACCCUCGAAUGCCGGUGGAUACUGUCGGGCUAGAGUGCGGAAGAGGCGAGUGGAAUUCCUGGUGUAGCGGUGAAAUGCGCAGAUAUCAGGAGGAACACCAAUUGCGAAGGCAGCUCGCUGGGAC
rnacentral:rRNA from 1 species